ACACCGUUGGUGAAGUGGUUAUCAUGCUUGCCUUCCAUCGACUGAUCGACUCCUUUAUUUAAGCAAGCAGCACGGUUUGAUUCCCAAACGGUGUA
rnacentral:tRNA from 1 species